rnacentral:rRNA from 1 species
GUAGGUGGCAAGCGUUGUCCGGGAAUUAUUGGGGCGUAAAGCGCGCGCAGGCGGUUCUUUAAGUCUGAUGUGAAAGCCCACGGCUCAACCGUGGAGGGUCAUUGGAAACUGGAGAACUUGAGUACAGAAGAGGAAAGCGGAAUUCCACGUGUAGCGGUGAAAUGCGUAGAGAUGUGGAGGAACACCAGUGGCGAAGGCGGCUUUCUGGUCUGUAACUGACGCUGAGGCGCGAAAGCGUGGGGAGCAAACAGGAUUAGAUACCCUGGUAGUCCACGCCGUAAACGAUGAGUGCUAAGUGUUAGGGGGUUUCCGCCCCUUAGUGCUGCAGCUAACGCAUUAAGCACUCCGCCUGGGGAGUACGGCCGCAAAGGCUGA